CCCAUACAUGCAACAAAAAUGAUACAAAUUAUUAGCAAUCUCACUAUAAUGAAAUGUAACUAUUCAAUCUUACAAGUAUCUAGAUAAUGAAUGAAGGAUAAACAAGUAGCUGCAAUUCAGAAAGAGCAAAUAUACAACCAGAUAUCUGAGGAAAUUUCAAAGAAAUUCGUCAAACGAACUAUGUGCUUAUGAGGUUGAGGAGAAGAUAUAGAUGGGAAAUAAUUCCAAUCCAAAGUUAAUGAAAUGCUAUAAAAGCAUCUUUGAACAACAUGGGAAUACUAUUGGUCUAGCAGUUGGGAAGAAAUCGAAGAAUUUAACUAAAAAUUAAUUCAUUUCCCCAAAUUUC
rnacentral:lncRNA from 1 species